ACGGUUGUCUAGCGGUUAGAACGCUGGCCUUGUAAUCCUGGGGUCUCGGGUUCGAUUCCCGGCUGU
rnacentral:tRNA from 1 species